rnacentral:misc_RNA from 1 species
GAGACAAGCAUAUGACUACUGGCAGGAUCAACCAGGUAGCAUUCCUUAUCGACGCCGAUCGCCGCAUGAGCCGAGCCAAUAGGCCCGACCAAAACGGGAACGGACAUCGUCCGCGUGAAGCGUAGAACGCUUUGUUUUCGGGGCAAAUAGAGGUCGGGGACCUCGUACCGCAUGGGUAUUCGGCAUCCGAGAGAUCGAGCAUAAUGCCAUGCGCCAAUGAUCGGAGUGCAGUUCAAAGCACAAGGAUCAUUGGAACACAACGAAUGCUUCGUUGCCCACCCCGCACCGCAGCCCAGAAGGCCGCAACACAAGGAGGGAACGGGACAUUUGGACUACAACAUGCCUUCUCGAUAGGUAUACAGCACAGGAAACCCGUCGUCAGUCAAGGCGAUCUACAACUUGAGCCGACCAUUGAAGAGGCGUGCACAAGAUGCCGUCGCUGCCAGAGCAGGGAACCGACAUGCCCAUACGCGCCAAUCACCACUCACGCGCUCUAU